UNCCUGAAGUGGCCGGUGGCCAGCUUCGAGCUCCCAACCUUUGACCCGAGGACAGUUCCCCCUGCAGGGCCACUCUGUCUGCCUGAGUCCAGUUCCCUCUUGAGCUCCGACCCUGAGGUAGUCGUCGCCGUGGGAUUUCCUGGGGCCGGGAAGUCCACCUUCCUCCAGGAGCAUCUCGUGUCCGCAGGAUAUGUCCACGUGAAUAGGGUAGGAUUCUGGCCGCACCCGUGUCCGUCUGCAGUCAGUCCCCUCCCAUCACUGCUCAGUUCCCUGUGAGAUCUGUUCCCCUUGCAUCUCUCUGCUCUCCUUCAGGG